ACUUAGUCUUUUCUGCCUUUUCUACCCCACCAGUGAGGAGGCUGGGAAUGCACAAGAAGCUGGGAGGAGCACAGCCACGACAGCUGACCUCAGGAGACCACAGGGAUAUCCCAGACCAUACGGAGUCAUGCUCAGUACAUAAAGCUGGGAGAAGAAGAAGGAAGGAGGGGAGGUUCAGAGUGAUGCUGUUUGUCUUCCCCUGUCCACUGCUCCAUGUGAUGGAGCCCUGCUUUCCUGGAGAUGGCUGAAUACCUGCCUGCCCAUGGAAUGUGAGACAUCCUCCAUUGAUGUGAUCCAGCUGUGCAGCCUCCCGAGCUCCAGCAAAAGCACAGAGCCUGCACAAGCAGCAUGAAUAUGGUAUGAACUGAAGUAACCACUGAAGAAUAAGCCCAGCUAGCAAGCAAAUCAAGAACAAUAUGGGAGGAAUAACUGUGUCUAGCAAGCCUGUCCCAAAGAAUACUGAAAGAAAAAUAUCCUUACUGGCUUUCCUUGAUGACUGCCUCCUGAGGAAGAGGAACCCUGGAAAAAAAUACCUGGUUUUGACUCUUAAGUCUAUUUGUGCUUAAAUAUUCUUGCUAUCUGGAAUAAAAGACCACAGAAGAAUGAA